rnacentral:rRNA from 1 species
UUGAAAGGGAAACGAUUGAAGUCAGUCGUACCUUCGGGUAAUCAGCCUUUCGGGUGCGAUUCUGUGGAGCGUGGGGAGUUAAACGCCUUCAUGCCUGCAUAUUCGUGCACUUUGGGUGUACUUGCCCGUGUGGUAGGUUAACAUCAAUUUCGGAUAUCAUAAAAUGGCUGGAGGAAUGUAGCUUCGGUCUCGUACUGAAGUGUUAUAGCCUUUGGUAGAUGUGAUGUUUGAGACCGAGGAUUGCAACGAAUACCUUUUGGGCUAUCCGUCUGAUCUCUGAAAGUUGCUCUGGUGCCGAAAGCUUGCUUACGGUUAUCAAAGUUGACGUUCAAAAGGUUAGAACGGGUUAAAUUCGUUAAGGAUGUUGACGUA